UGCUUUACUCAACCCGCUUCGGCGCGCCUGGGUGACCCAGCGCGCGACCCUGCGCUCCCGCGCGGUGCAGGCGUCCGCCACUCUCGCACCUGUUUUCACAUGUGGUGGCAUUCUUACUGGAGAGUCUGGAUUUAUUGGCAGUGAAGGUUUUCCUGGAGUGUACCCUCCAAAUAGCAAAUGUACUUGGAAAAUCACAGAAAAAACUGUUUUAUGAUUGAAAAACUCUGACCUGAACUGGGUCUGAAAUAUCAAGGAACUACCAGGACCCUGGCCUGAAACUUGUGGCCAAGUGAGAAAUGAUAAAAGCAGAACUGUUCUAUAUGGCAUUCGAAGACUCUCAAUUUUAAGAAUCAGCUUCUCCUUGAAUUGAAAAACCACAGCAUAAGUGCUUCUCAUCAACAUCAGCCAUCUCUUCAGACAGCUGAGGGCUUUGAGGAAAAGGUGCUUGGUGAAACUUGGGUAUUCUCAUUUUAUGAAUAACCCUAAGCUUUGCAGUAUACCAGGUCGCCAUGCAGGAAGUACCAGGCAUGUUUGAACGUAAUUACCCCCACCCUGCUAUAACUUUC
rnacentral:sRNA from 1 species